rnacentral:rRNA from 1 species
AGCGCAGGCGGGAAGACAAGUUGGAAGUGAAAUCCAUGGGCUCAACCCAUGAACUGCUUUCAAAACUGUUUUUCUUGAGUAGUGCAGAGGUAGGCGGAAUUCCCGGUGUAGCGGUGGAAUGCGUAGAUAUCAGGAGGAACACCAGUGGCGAAGGCGGCCUACUGGGCACCAACUGACGCUGAGGCUCGAAAGUGUGGGUAGCAAACA